UGGGGAAUAUUGCACAAUGGGGGAAACCCUGAUGCAGCGACGCCGCGUGAACGAAGAAGGUAUUCGUAUCGUAAAGUUCUGUCCUAUGGGAAGAUAAUGACAGUACCAUAGAAGAAAGCUCCGGCUAAAUACGUGCCAGCAGCCGCGGUAAUACGUAUGGAGCGAGCGUUGUCCGGAAUUAUUGGGCGUAAAGGGUACGCAGGCGGUUUAAUAAGUCGAAUGUUAAAGAUCGGGGCUCAACCCCGUAAAGCAUUGGAAACUGAUAAACUUGAGUAGUGGAGAGGAAAGUGGAAUUCCUAGUGUAGUGGUGAAAUACGUAGAUAUUAGGAGGAAUACCAGUAGCGAAGGCGACUUUCUUGACACAAACUGACGCUGAGGUACGAAAGCGUGGGGAGCAAACAGG
rnacentral:rRNA from 1 species